CUGUUGAGUGACGAAACCUCCGUAGAUACAGUAACUUUCCAUCAUAACAAAUAUGGCGGACGUGUCAGUUACGGUACAUUUUGGAAAACUUCAAAUGAACGUUUUCUAUGUAAAUAGAUAUGAACGAAAGGCUGGACACAUUUGAGAACCUCACGAACAUUGAGGUUGUAAGAAGAUAUCGGUUAGAUAAGGAUGGCAUCGAUCGCCUUAAUCAAGAAUAUGGUGAACGUUUAUCACCUAAAACACUUGGGCCAAAGAAUGUCUCUUCUUUAGAGAAAAUCCUUAUCACCCUACGCUAUUGUGCUCCGGUGAUUUCCAGAUAAAUGAUGGUAACAUUCAUAAUUUGUCACAGCCAUCAGUGUCAAGGGCUGUGACACAGUUCACUGAGAUGCUCGCUAGCAGGGAAACUACAUCAAGAUUUAUAUUGUUCCCUCUAAAUAUGCAUGAUGUCAGCAGGGUAAAGACGGAUUUCCAAUGCAUAGCCAACUUUCCAAAUGUUGUUGGCGUUGUGGAUGGCACUCAAGUGCAGAUGUGCAGGAUGCAUAUGUCAAUAGAAUGGGAUAUCAUUCUAUCAAUACCCAGAGCUGACAUAAUAACAAGAUCAAAAGUCGAAAGGGGAAUAGGCCAACUGAAAAGAAGAUGGGGAGUGCUGCAUGGCGAAAUUCGUUUGAAACCUGAAAAGGCUUGCCACAGCUCUGCUAAUGACAUCACCUCGAGUUGGUCAUUGUCGUGACAGCUGCAGUGACACCUGACAAAGACAAUUCAUUUGUCAUACUUUGACAUAUGUACAAGACUGAGCAAAUAAAUGUACUUUGGGUUAAAGAGUUAAUUUAUUAUCAUUCAAUAAGUGGAGAAGUGUUAAUCUUUUUGAUAGCCUUUGUUGUAAAAAAAUAUUUUGUACAAAGUAACAAUGGUAUUUACUAUUUUUUUUACAAUGAGUUAUUCUUUUGUUUGAUUGAUAGGGGUAGAGUGGGGACGGGUACUGGUAAGACUGGUGUAGAUUUUUGUUUAAACAACCUCCUUCUAAAAUAAAUAUUUUUAUUAUUUAUAAGACCUAAUGGAUGUGUGGUUAAAAUUAUGUAACCACAUUUAUGAAUUCUUUUUAUGUCCCCCACUAUAGUAGUGGGGGACAUAAUUGUUUUUGCCCUGUCUGUUGGUCUGUCUGUCUGUUUGCGCCAACUUUAACAUUUUGCAAUAACUUUUGCUAUAUUGAAGAUAGUAACUUCAUAUUUGGCAUGCAUGUGUAUCUCAUGAAGCUGCACAUUUUGAGUGGUGAAAGGUCAAGGUCAUCCUGCAAGGUCAGAAGUCAAAUAAAUGUGGCCCUUAUCGCUUAUUUUAUAAAUACUUUUGCAAUAUUGAAGAUAGCAACUUGAUAUUUGGCAUGCAUGUGUAUCUCAUGGAGCUGCACAUUUUGAGUGGUGAAAGGUCAAGGUCAUCCUUCACAAUGUCAAGGUCAUCCUACAAGGUCAAACAUCAUAUAGGGGGACAUUGUGUUUCACAAACACAUCUUGUUCAAACAUAAAUGAGUUUUAUUUUUGAUUUAUUUUAAACUUGUUACCUCAGUGUAAUGACUAUUCAAACAACUAAAUUUUUGAAGGUGUAUUGUUACACCAUUACCAAUAGGUUUUUACUUUACAACAAAAUUAAACAAAAGCAACAUUGUUAAAAAUGACAUGAUAGUCUCAAUUUUUUUGAUACUUUAUAUGAAGAGGACUUUAUUUUCAAAGUGAUAUAUAAGGCAUAUGAACAAAAAAAUGAGUACUUAUUUUAGAGGUAUUAAAGCAUUAACAUUUAUAAUAUUCUUUUCCUUAUAUAUUUGUUUAUUUCUAUUCUCAUUUUGCAAUUAAUUGAUGACUACCCGAGGCUGUUUGCCAUAAACACUGUAUUAUGCAAUAAAGAAUAUGGUAUGGUACCUGUCAAUGCACGGUCUCUUAUGUAAUCUGUAUAAAUGAGACGGUGCUUGGCAACCAUGUUUAGCCACUUUUUUUCCAGCUUUUCUGCCGUCCUGUUUUUAGUUGCUUUUUGAUUGAACUUAGUUUAAACCAUCGCCCACAUCUGCUUGUUUGUUUGACUUGUUAUUCCAGUUAUUAAAUACAUAACUUGUAUUCAUUAAACAAUCACUUACUAUGUACAUAGCUUUGAUUGCUUUAUAUUGGCUUAACCGGUAUAUGUAGCAACUAGUGCAAAUAAAUUGGUGUCAA